CACGCCGGAGUCUGGGCCGCCUGGCGCACCUCCUGGCUCCCCGCCUGAGCUUCAGGAUCAGCGGGGCCGUACGGCGCAUCCUGCGGGAGGCACCGGCGGCGGUGGCGGGCGCGGCGCCCGCAAUUAAACGCAAGAUGAUGAAGUUUCGGUUCCGGCGUCAGGGCGCUGACCCGCAGCGCGAAAAGCUCAAGCAAGAGCUCUUCGCUUUCAACAAGACCGUGGAACAUGGCUUCCCCAACCAGCCCAGCGCCCUGGCCUUCGAUCCCGAGCUUCGCAUCAUGGCCAUUGGCACCAGGUCUGGGGCCGUCAAGAUCUAUGGUGCACCUGGCGUGGAAUUCACGGGCCUACACCGAGACAUGGCCACAGUCACCCAGAUGCACUUUCUGCCUGGCCAGUCCUGGUCUCUGCUCACCCACCAGGGGCGCCUUCUGACUCUGCUGGAUGACAGCAGCCUGCAUCUCUGGGAGAUCGUCCACCAGAAUGGCUGUGCCCACCUGGAGGAAGCGCUCAGCUUUCAGUUGCCCAGUCGGCUGGGUUUUGAUGGUGCCAGUGGCCCGCCCACCCUUGCCCACAUCACAGUGGUGCUGCUGGUGGCUGCUAGCAACAUGGCAGCCCUGGGCACUGAAGGUGGCAGCGUCUUCUUCCUGGAUGUUUCCACCCUGAUGCUGAUUGAGGGUCAGACCCUUGGCCCUGAUGAGGUUCUGCGAAGUUUGCCAGAUGACUACCGGUGUGGGAAGGCACUGGGCCCUGUGGAGUCCCUACAGGGACACCUGCGGGACCCCACCAAGAUCCUCAUUGGCUACAGCCGGGGCCUGCUGGUCAUCUGGAACCAGGCCGCACAGUGUGCGGACUGCAUCUUCCUGGGGAACCAGCAGCUGGAGAGCUUGUGCUGGGAGCGCAGUGGCAGCACACUGGUCAGCUCGCACAGCGACGGCAGCUACGCUAUCUGGUCUGUAGACACUGACAGCUCCCCAGUGAUGCAACCUACAGUAGCCACUGUGCCCUACGGACCCUUCCCUUGCAAAGCCAUCAGUAAGAUUUUGUGGCGAAGCUGUGAAUCUGGGGGCCACUUUAUCAUCUUCAGUGGUGGCAUGCCUCGUGCCAGCUAUGGUGAUCGCCACUGUGUCAGUGUGCUCCGGGCUGAGACACUGGUGACACUGGAUUUCACCUCCCGCAUCAUUGACUUCUUCACGGUGCACAGCACUCGACCUGAGGACGAGUUUGACGAGCCCCAGGCCCUGGCUGUGCUGCUGGAAGAGGAGCUGGUGGUGCUAGACCUGCAAGUGCCUGGCUGGCCUGUCGUGCCUGCUCCAUACCUGGCCCCACUGCACUCAUCUGCUAUCACCUGCUCGGCCCACGUCGCCAAUGUCCCUGCCAAGCUGUGGGCCCGCAUUGUGAGCGCUGGCGAGCAGCAGAGCCCCCAGCCCGCCUCCAGUGCCUUGAGCUGGCCCAUCACCGGGGGCCGGAGCCUGGCCCAGGAGCCAUCUCAGCGAGGGCUGCUGCUCACUGGCCAUGAGGAUGGCACCGUGCGGUUCUGGGACGCCUCUGGCGUGGCACUGCAGCCACUCUACAAGCUGAGCACAGCUGGCCUCUUCCAGACAGACUGUGAGCAUGCUGACAGUCUGGCCCAGGCUACUGAGGAUGACUGGCCGCCCUUCCGCAAGGUGGGCUGCUUUGACCCCUACAGUGAUGAUCCCCGGCUAGGGGUGCAGAAGGUGGCACUUUGCAAGUACACAGCUCAGAUGGUGGUGGCUGGCACUGCAGGCCAGGUGCUGGUGCUGGAGCUCAAUGAUGUGCCGUCGGAGCAGGCAGUCAGUGUGGCCAGCAUGGACCUCCUCCAGGACCGAGAGGGCUUCACGUGGAAGGGGCAUGAGCGGCUAAGCCCACGCACAGGGCCCCUGCCCUGGCCUGCUGGCUUCCAGCCCCGAGUGCUCGUUCAGUGCCUGCCGCCUGCCGCCGUCACUGCUGUCACGCUGCACACAGAGUGGAGCCUCGUGGCCUUUGGCACCAGUCAUGGCUUUGGCCUCUUUGACUACCAACGCAAGAGCCCUGUGCUGGCCAGGUGCACACUUCAUCCCAAUGACUCGCUGGCCAUGGAGGGGCCACUCUCCCGGGUGAAGUCACUCAAGAAGUCACUGCGCCAGUCUUUCCGGCGCAUUCGCAAGAGCCGAGUUUCAGGCAAGAAGCGGGCUGCUAAUGCCAACAGCAAGUUGCAGGAGGCCAAUGCGCAGCUGGCAGAGCAGGCCUGCCCCCAUGACGUGGAAAUGACGCCUGUGCAGCGACGCAUCGAGCCACGUUCAGCUGAUGACUCCCUCUCUGGUGUGGUGCGCUGCCUCUACUUCGCUGACACAUUUCUCCGAGAUGCGGCCCACCAUGGACCCACCAUGUGGGCAGGCACCAACUCAGGCUCUGUGUUUGCCUAUGCACUGGAGGUGCCAGCAGCGGUGGCAGGCAGCGAGAAGCGGCCGGAGAAGGUGGUGGAGGCAGUGCUGGGCAAGGAGGUACAGCUGAUGCAUCGCGCCCCUGUGGUGGCCAUUGCCGUGUUGGAUGGGCGUGGCCGCCCACUGCCCGAGCCCUAUGAGGCCUCUCAGGACCUGGCACAGGCGCCAGACAUGCAGGGUGGCCAUGCAGUGCUCAUUGCAUCUGAGGAACAAUUCAAGGUGUUUACACUACCCAAGGUGAGUGCCAAGACCAAGUUCAAGCUGACAGCCCACGAGGGCUGUCGUGUGCGCAAGGUGGCACUGGCCACAUUUGCCAGCGUGGCCUGCGAGGACUAUGCUGAGACCUGCUUGGCCUGCCUCACCAACCUGGGGGAUGUGCAUGUCUUCUCCGUGCCGGGCCUGCGGCCCCAGGUGCAUUACUCCUGUAUCCGCAAGGAGGACAUCAGUGGCAUCGCCUCCUGUGUCUUCACGCGCCACGGCCAGGGUUUUUACCUUAUUUCCCCAUCAGAGUUUGAGCGCUUCUCCCUAAGUGCCCGGAACAUCACAGAGCCGCUGUGCUCUCUGGACCUCAGCUGGCCCCGUGGUGCUGCCCGUGCCAGCUACAGCCUCCAAGAGUCACCCAAGCUGAGCCAGGCUAAUGGGACCCCAGGCAUCGUCCUGGCCCCGCAGAGCUGUGAUGGAAGUCCUAAUCCUGUCCACAGCCAGGGAGCUGACACCCCUGAGCCGCUGGAGGCUGCACUCUCGCCUAUGUCCAUCGACUCAGCCACCAGUGCAGACACAACUCUGGACACAAUAGGGGACAUCACAGUGGAAGACGUGAAGGAUUUCCUGGGGUGAGCACUUCAGAGGAAUCUGAGAGGAAUCUGAGGAACCUGGUGGAAGACGAGGCUCGAGCCUGUGCCAUCCUGAUAAAAUGAGGAAGGCCAGAACCACCUGGCCACCACCUGCCUUGCUUGGAGCUGGGAUCCAGGACCCCUGGCUCUUCCCAGCCCUUCACAUAGACCCAUGCCUGCUAACCUGUAGGCUCCAGCGACACCUACCCACCCUGCUCCCCGGGUGUGGGCCUAGAACUUGGGGGUGUUUUGGGACUCUAUAGGCAGUACCAUGGAGGCCAGGUGCCACAGGACAAAGACAGGUGGGGCUGACAGCCCAUGCCACUCCCACUCCACCUUCCUUUCCCCUCCUUUUGCAAAGAAUAUUUUUCUAAUGCCUGGACUGGACAGUGCCAGGCUGGACAGUCACUUCUAAAACUAUUUUGGUACUUGCUCCUGGGCUAGCAUGUCCCCCACCCCCAGCUUGGACAUGAAA